UUCUGCCUGGUUCUGGUCUGGUUCUGUCUGGUUCUGUCUGGUUCUGUGGUCAAGUUCUCAGUAUUUGCCUGUAAUUCACUCAAAGACUGAGUCUGAACUAAGUCUUUGGUGUUUGAGUCUGGUCUAAGUCUCCAGAAGAGUUGACAGACUUUUGUGACUGUGUCUGGUCCGGUCUGGUUCUGGAGUCCGACCUGGACUCGGAGCAGACCCUGAGUCCUGGACUCUGGUGUUCUGACAUGACAUAACAACAGCAGCAGCUCUUCAUUAUGAUCACGAUCACACUGUUCAACCCAUUUAGCUGAUUGGUCAUAAAUCUCUCUGCAGCCUCGGCUAAAGAGAAGCUAAAAGCUUGUUUGGCUGCUUCUCUGACAAACUGUCAAAACACCAUCACAUCACUGUGUGUUUUCAUCCCACAGAUGAACUCAGUCCUUCAUUUAAGACUUUUUAACCACAGACACACACACACACACACACCAGGACCAGGACACGGCAGGAGGUUCUGUCUGGGUCUAAACUCUCUGACAGACUUUUAGUUCAAAUGUAUAGUACAUAGUAUUUAACCUAAAAUGUCUGGAGUAGAACCCACAACCCUGCGACUCUAAAACAUUUCCUUUGAGUGUUUUAUUUAUUUGUUGCGGUUUUGCCCCAGUUUAAGAACCGGUUUGUUGAUAUAAUACAGCCAAAGGGCGCCAGGCUGUCAGACAGCGCCACCUGCUGACACGUGUCUGUCGCUCACUCUCUCUAAUCCUGCAGCCGGAGCAGCAGGCGACCACACGCUACAGUGGGAUUAGGUGACGUUUCUGUCUGUGUUUGGGCUUAAAAUGAACGUCAUCAGUCGAUGAUGAACGUUCUAAAAAUAAAAAAUAAAUAAAACAAGAUUUGUUUAAAAAAAAUCCGUCUCUCUAUCGGGAAAAAAAUAUUUGGAAAAUAUAACAUUUGGUCACGUAUCUGCUUAAUCAGUGUUUAAAAAUUCUCUAAAAUUUAAAAAAAUGAUGAAAAUUUAAAAAUAUGUCGAUUUUGUUAAAAAUAUUAAAGUGAUUACACAAUUAUUAAAUAAUUUAUUUUAGAUUUUUUUUAAAUUAAUGACAUCAUCGUUCUCUGCUGUUUAUGACCAUUUAAUAGAAAGACUCAGACAUAGGGUGCGACCGCCCUCUAGCGGCCCUCACUUGAUAUAGGCUGAGAACAAGUUUUAAGCUCGAGCAAAAAAGAAGUGCAACAGUAUUUAAAAAAUGGUAAAAACUUAAUUAAAGAACGACAAGGCUAAAUGUGAAAGUGAAAAAGUGAAAUAAAAAACAGAAAAGAUAAUAACAUUCAUAACUUGUAAAAACAUUUCCCACAUUAUUGAUGCGUCGUUAAAAUAGUUUCAGUAAAUUAAGUCCUGGCACGUUGUACCUGCCCUGAGGAUGUUAGCGAUGGAACCUACCAGUAGAGGGCGGCAGAUCCACGUGCAUGUCCCUGAGUCUGACUUCAUCGCAGAUGUGAAGUCAUUAUCUUUAGCUUCGCCACAGCUCCUCCUAGAGGUGGUGUGUUCACGGCACUGAUACAACACUGUAAGACUAAAUGAUUGAGUAUGAAGACGGCCAUUACACCCCCUCACCCUCACCCUCACCCCCUCACCCUCUGGACAAUGGUUGACCACCAUGACUGGUAUGUUAAUUCUUAAGUCAGUGGAACUAAAAUGUGGUGCGAGGACCUUUAGGGCGACUCAAAGAUGUCAUUAUGGCCCCUUGGUGUCCUGUCAUGUCCUCAGGCAAAUUGACUGGGUGUCAGAGUGAUGAUUGGGGGGGGGGGUUCUUAUGGGCAGGGUCUCAUCCCUAUCAUCACCCGCCUGAUUCUGUCUAUCUACUUCAUUCAUUCUUCAUCUCCUCUCCUCCUCCUCUCCUCUCCUCUCCCCUCGUCUCCUCUCAUCUUAUUAAUCCUCUAACUUCCUCGCUUCUGCAGUGAGGUUCCGGGGUCAAACCUGUUAACCCGUCUUUAGACAGAUACAUCAUCACUGGGUGGGGGGGGCAGCGUUCUGGUCUCUCCACCUCCGGGCUGGACCGGCUGACAGAAAGUAGCUUUCAGCACCGGGCAAACAUUUGAUCUGUCCUGGGAUCAGCGUCCUCACCCCUCUCUCCCCCAUUAACUCGCCCUGUUUCGCUUCACUGCCUGAUUUUGUCUUUCAUGCGGCUCAGUCCGCCACACACCCUUCACCAACCUGGGGUCCGAAGGAGACCAGAACCACGGGCUCUUCUUCAGUCGGGGGUGAAAACCCACCGCAUGUGUCUGUGUUUGCAGGGGCUGAUGGGAUUUAUUCGGGCGGAGAGUGAAGCCUCUGAGCUGCUUUUAGGAUUUCGCCGACAACUUGUUUGUUGUUAGAGCGCAGCCUGUGGUGUUAACCCAUGACCUCGCUGCCCUUUGACCCGCGGGACGACAAGUCCGUCCACGCGUCAGGGGCAGCUGCUGUCAGACGGUGGAAACAUCCAGAGGGGAAGAGGGAGAGAGCGGAACAAUCAGAUCAAAAACACCGGAUACAUGAUCUGUCUGCAGGAAAAGUGUGAAUGAAGCCGCGGGCUGCACAGAGUCAGGGAUUAAAGAGCGCCAUCAGGAGGUUAAAUGACCAAUUAACAUCAGGAUGAACACAAACACUGGCCUCUGAAGAAGGAGAGACUGAAAACAGAGUAUAAAUAAAUCAAGUACUUCAAUAGUACUUCAUUAAUAUACAACAGUUCAGACCCAGAUACUCCCUCUCCCCCUGGGCUAACAUUUAGCCUCUGCUGCUGUAUAUGUUAGCAAUUCUGACCUAGCAAUUACUUUUUGGAUUUUCUUUUUAGUUAACUGUAAUUAACUGUCGACUAUCUCUGUUUUUGUUGCAUUUCUUGUUGCUAUGUUGUUAGCUAACGCCGAGCUUUCUAGAUGCAUUUAUUCCAUAGCUGUUUAUUCAAUGUUUUUGGCUAAUUCUUCUAAUAAUACUUUUUGGGUUUUAUUUUCUUUUGGCAACAUUGCGGCUAACCUCUUUAGCUUUUUAGUUGCAUCGUUCCCCGGCUCUCAUUUGUUUAACUUGCUGUCGUUUAGCUAUAUUAUUGGGUGGUGAUUUCUGAAUGAUCUGAAUUGGUUUUGGCCAUAUUUGGAGUUGUUCACGAUUUAUAUUAGUCAGCGUGUUUUUAGCUGAAUCGUCAGCUUUUUGUUUUGUUUUUUUGUGCUAACAUUCAUUUAUUCCCCUGGUGUUUUCUUCUGCUUCCUGAAUUUGUUUUUGUGGAAACUUUGCAGCUUCUGUACUUUCACCGCAUUCAUCAUAAAGAGGACGUACUCAACGUUCCACCUUUAGAACAUUAUGUACAAAGAACCCAUCACUUAGCCGUGGUAUCUUAAAGGUAGGGUUCAGGGGAACAGCUGGGGUUCAAGUGGCAAAGUUCCUGCUUUUACGUUAUUGUUUAUUGUACCUGGAACUCUGUGUCCAUCUGACAUCGGUUUCUGUGGCUAGCUGCUGAUCAGAGAAGCUGUUAGGAUGUUUUUUGUUUUUUUUUCCGAUCAUUUGCCGACGGUGACUGAUGCAGGAGAAUUCGGAGGUGAGCGACCAAAAACAUUCCAUGUGCCACUCACGCGUCCACAGGAAUUUGAUUAUCUUCAAAGCUCGUCGCCUCCAGCGUGUGAUAUGACUCAGAGCUGCAGAGAAAUAAAAAACAAAAAAGAGAAAAAAAAGUCAGACAUCUUGCAUUCCAGAAACCAUUCCACAAAGUACAAUAACUUCCUGGAAUUCUUCGACCCUCGGCGGCGGAGCCAGGGCACAUCCUGUUGUCCUCGCAGCACUUCCUGUUCCAUGCGGCCCAAUCAGUCUCCAGCGUUGCCAUGGCCACUGGAAAACAGUGGCGCUGGUGCUUUGAUGGUUAGCGUAAACAGGUAACGCUCGGCUGACGCAGCACAGAGGGACGAGUGAGACGAUCUGACAAGUCGAUGCCAGCAUCAAAUUGCUACUGGCGUCUCCACUGUGUAAUUUCAAAUACCGUAACAGGAAGGUGCACAUUUACAUGAUAAUUGAAGUACUGGUACGUGUCAGCGCUGCAGGUCCUCAGAGUUACUGUCAAACCAUGAGUUAAACCUUCGUUCUCCGUUCUUUUUUUAGUUGCACGGUAGCAGUGAAGUCAUCAGUCAGCCAUCUUCAUCUGGCAGCGUGUCAAUCAUCCUUGGGAUGGAGUAUGGAGUCUAUCAUAAGCUCUACUGCUCCAGAUCAGAUGCUCCAUCAAGAGGGGGGACACUUGGUCAGACACCCGGCGGACCCCCAGUGAGGAUAGAAAAGUAUCGGGAGGAAGAAGACUGACAGACGGAAAAUUCAACAAAAACGAGAAGAAGCUUCAAAAAGAGGUUUUGGACAGUCUGGAGUUCAGAUGCUGUGUUUUCGUCGAGGUUUAGACGUUUCCAUGGUGUGUCUUUUCACCGUCAUUACUCGUCUGUGAGACCACAUCAGUCCGUGCCAUGAGGUCGACCGACCGACGCUCCUCUUCAGAGUCCUCCUCACUCUGCAGCGUGGAGAGCGUCCCCUGGUCUCGACCCCCCCUUCCCUGCACGAUGGACUUUCUUCAGAGAAAAGGUCGCCUGGGUUCCGAAAACCCUUUUUCUGUAGAACAAAGUGUGAAGGUCGGCACGUCGUCCUUAGGAGGCCGGGCUCUUGCCCUCCCACGCCCUGGCCCUGUGGCGCCGUCGCAGCAGCCACUUCUCCAGCAGCAGUCUGGUUUUGGAGGCCAGUGCUGCAGGUGACGCCUGCUUCCUGUUGCUGCUGUGGACAAAGACAAGACAAGAGGCGACCUGACUGACGCUAUGAACUCUGGGAGUUUGGAAAGAGCUGCUUGAACAUCAGCUCCUGUUUGCACUGAGGCUCAGAGCAGCCGUGGCCUCGGGCGCUGAGGUGGAUCAGUGUGUCGGGCGAUGUCUCAUACCUGCGAGCCAGAGAAGAGAAGGAACACACAAACACACGCCAUUAGGAGCAGGAUCGACUGU